CGUGCCGGGCCGGGUCGGGUGCGGCCCACGGUGCCGGCAUGGUGUUGCAGGAGCCCGCCGGGGUGCCGAGUCCGUCGGCUGCAGCGGGAGGGCUCGGUGAUGCCGCCGCCGAGGUACAGCUGUCCCGGCUUCGCUGGGCCGUGCUGCUGCUCUUCAGCAGCUACUCCCUGUGCAACGCCUUCCAGUGGAUCCAGUACGGCAGCAUCAACAACAUCUUCGUGCGCUUCUACGACGUGAGCGCCUUCGCCAUCGACUGGCUUUCCAUGAGCUACAUGCUCAUCUACAUCCCCCUGCUCUUCCCUGUCGCCUGGCUGCUGGACAAGAGGGGCCUGCGCCUCAUCGCCCUGGCUGGCUCGGCCCUCAAUGCCAUGGGUGCCUGGGUGAAGCUGGGCAGCCUGAAGCCGCACCUCUUCCCUGUCACUGUCCUGGGGCAGGUCAUCUGUGGCCUGGCUCAGGUCUUCAUCCUGGGCAUGCCCUCACGCAUCGCCUCGGUCUGGUUUGGCUCUCACGAGGUCUCCACCGCCUGUUCCAUUGCAGUCUUUGGGAACCAGCUUGGCAUCGCUGCAGGCUUUCUGGUCCCUCCAGUUCUGGUCCCUAAUGUGGAGGAUGAGGAGAAGCUGGCCUACCACAUCAGCAUCAUGUUCUUCAUGAUUGCAGGUGUGGCAUCAGCCCUGUUCAUCCUAGUCAUCAUAGUUUUCAAGGAGAAGCCCCCAAACCCUCCAAGCCGAGCUCAGGCCUCGAUCCAGUCAAGACCGACUUCAGAGUAUUCCUACGUGCAAUCAAUCCUCCGCCUGCUCCGCAAUAUCAACUUUUUGCUGCUUAUGGUCACUUAUGGUCUGAAUGUAGGUUGUUUCUACGCCUUGUCCACUCUGCUGAACCGCAUGGUGAUCCAUCACUACCCAGGGGAGGAGGUGAAUGCUGGCAGGAUUGGACUCACCAUUAUACUGUCGGGGAUGGUUGGGGCUCUGAUCUCCGGCAUCUGGUUGGACAAAACCAAAACCUACAAGCAAACAACACUAGUUGUCUAUAUCAUGUCUCUGGUCGGAAUGAUAAUCUAUACCUUCACUCUGAGCCUGGGCCACCUCUGGGUGGUCUUUGUGACUGCUGGGUUGCUGGGGUUUUUCAUGACAGGAUACCUUCCCCUGGGCUUCGAGUUUGCUGCAGAGUUGACAUACCCAGAAUCAGAAGGAACAUCAUCAGGGCUCCUUAAUGUCUCAGCCCAGAUUUUUGGUAUUGCCUUCACCAUUGGCCAAGGGCAAAUCAUGGAUCGCUUUGGGACAAGGGCAGGAAACCUCCUGCUUUGUUCUGUCCUGUUCCUGGGGACUGUUAUGACAGCAUUCAUUAAGGCUGAUCUCCGAAGACAACAGGCCAAUUUGGAAAAUGAACAGACAAGACUCCAAGGCAGCAAUCAGAUCACGGAUUAUGGGACUGUAGCUUCUAACCCUAACCCCAUCAAUUCCCACUCCUGCUCACUAGCUUAAACACACCAAGAUUGUGUAAGAGCCUACUCAAAAUGAGACUGUUUCAUAUCUCUUGCUUCCAUGCUGCCUGGAUUUCUCUUGAACUGCAUGGGGGAUGUGAACUUCUUUCCUGUGCACCUCUGAUUUCUGCCUCAGAUGUCAGUCUUGCCCUACAAAAGUGUUGCCAGAAGCCUACACUAAUCCCAUAGUCCUUGAGGAAUCACGGCUGUGAAAUUAAGGGGUGGCAAAGCUGGGAGAUACAGCCCCCCUCAUUCCCAUCUUUUCUAUGUGCAUCAUCCUCUUGUGACAUGCACCCCAUGGGAGGGGGCAGCCUCAGGACAGGAACCCUAUGAACUGCUUGUGGAGAGUAUGAAAUAGCAAAACAAGAGGGGAGUUGCCUUCUUCAGUUUUAUCUUUGCAUCUUGCUGUUUUGGUGUUUGGGAGGAAAAGUUGGGAAAAUCUGCUGUGUCCCCUCCAGUCCCACCAUGUGUGCUUGGAAAAAGCACAUGUGCUGAGAGAAAAGCAACAGUACCAGGCUAACCCUGAGCAUGAUGGUGGUACCUUGCAUGUGGCUGUGACAUGAAAGGCAGAAGCUGGACCACACCUACUGUGAGCAGCCCUGGAAGAGCUGGCUCUAGGGAAAAGGAUUGCUCUGUCUUGGUUCCCAUUAUGCUCUGUGUUGCACAGGUAGUAGCAGAGAUCUCAGUACAUUACCAGCAAGUGCAAAGCAAUGCAUCAGCUGCUGCCAGCUCUUUUAUUAUUUGGCUUUCCCAGAUGAAGCACUCUAAAUCUGGAUAAACUUCUGCUCAGAAUUCACUGAGGUUGUCCUGAUAUUACUACAUAGUAGGAGUAAUUAAGAGAUACUUCUUACUCGAGGCAAGGACUAGUUCUGCAGCCUAAAUCUAGCUCAUCACUACAUUAGCAAUAAAAGUGAGUCAAACUACACUUUCCCUGGGUUGAGAACUCUGUCUUCCUCCUUAACAAUAAAGUGCCUUUUGCAUGUUUCAACACUACAGAAAAACUUUUGUGAAGUGUUAUAUUGAGAAAACCAGCCAAGGCUGUGUUGCUCUUCACAGCUACAGAGAGGGGUAUGAUGGGAAUCCAGCUUUGCUCCAGUGGAAGUUUCCUACUUCAUAAUAGAGAACAGGAGAAGGUACCCACUUACUAGCAUUUGUGUUGUAUAGACACUGCCCAUCUGUAUGCUGUUUAUCUUCUAAACACAACUGUAGAUCCUUUUAUCACUUCUCCAUCCUUCCCAGCAUCCCACCUCUGCUGGAGACACCAAGUGUCCUUAUAUGCCUUAAAUCAAGCAGCUACUGAUGUAUUAUUUGAGGCAGGAACAAAAUCUGUACUGAGGUGGAAUGAUUAAAAAUACUCCUCUCUGACAAACUGUUUUUGACAAAACAUUUUUUUUGAACUUUUUUUGGAUACACUACAUUUUGAUACUGCCUGAGCUCAGUAAGUGCUUAGACAACACUCUUAGGCACAUUGUAUGAUUCUUAGGGGUCCUGUGCAGGGCCAGGUGUUGGACUGUGAUCCUGAUAAAUUUCUUCCCAUUCAGCAUAUUCUAUGAUUGAAGUCCUUUCUUUGAGAGCCUGGGAUUGAGGAAUGGGGGGUUUAGAAUGAUUUUCAAUAGAAAUUUCAAUGUAAACUAUACACAUUUGAAGUGUAAAAUGAAAUCUGACACAUUAAUAUUAAAUGGUUGAAAACA